UAAGAAGGAGUCUAGUCUGUGAAAGAAGCUCAUUGGAACAUCUGAGGUAACACAGGAUAGACUCGUGCUCAGCCUCUUCAUCUGAACUACAUUAUGCUUGCAAAGUAAAGCACUCAAAAGAAAUGGCUAACCAGUUUUGGUUGAAACUUGAAGACCGAGGUAGACCUUAGCAUGGAACAUCCUGGCCACUGAGCUUAUCAAAGCCAUAAGCAGCUGAGAAUAGGGUCUUCUGAUGAAAGACUAUUGGCUGAAAUCCUGACACCACUGAAGUUAGUGGGGAAAACUAUUAUGUCAGUUAUAUCAUACAACGAUAUAGCAAGAGAGUCACCUGUGACCUGGCGAUGUGCAUUGUGAUAUGAAAUGACAAAACAACAUUGUGCCAGUCAGUCAAUAAGCCAAGUGAC